CCCUUAGAUGUCCUGGGCCGCACGCGCGCUACACUGAGUGUCUGAGAUACGAGUCUGCCUGGUCCGGCAAGGUCUAGGUAAUCGCUAAAAGACACAUCAUGCUUGGGAUAGAUUAUUGCAAAUAUUAAUCUUGAACGAGGAAUUCCUAGUAAGCGCAAGUCAACAGCUUGCGUUGAUUGCGUCCCUGCCCUUUGUACACACCGCCCGUCGCUACUACUGAUUGGAUGUCUAAGCGAGGUUCUCGAACUGCUAGCGACUUAGCUUCGGUGAGGUCGCAGUGUGGGAAGUGAACCUAGCUUUGGUGUCUAGAGGAAGUAAAAGUCGUAACA
rnacentral:rRNA from 1 species